ensembl:snoRNA LOC120094514 small nucleolar RNA SNORA17
CCUACUCCAGAGAUGGUGCAGGGACGGCUGCUAUGUCACAUGUGUAUCAGUAGGUGGCAGAGAGGAAAAGGAUAUGUCUAUGCUCAGGGUUCUGACUUGUGAACAUAAAAGGUUAGUAGCCUGGGGGU